rnacentral:tRNA from 1 species
GCGGAUAUGAUCUAGUGGUAUGAUAGUGGCUUCCCAAGCCACUCACUCGGGUUCAAAUCCCGGUAUCCGCA